GAGAGAGAGAGAGAGAAAGAGAGAGUGCAAGUUGCCAAAGAGAGACUGUUAUAAUAUUUCGGUCAGCUUAGCAAGUGGUUCUCGUUAUAUCGAUAUCGCUUUACUUGCUGCUUAUUCAGCUUGUCGGUUUACAACAGCUUUUAAGAUUCAUUUGUUGUGUGCACAUUUUAAAUACUUGGUCGAGCACUUUAAUAGACCCCACCUCAAUGUUAUAUUAUACCAUGUCGUUUAGAUAAAGAAAUCGAAUGAUUAUAUUUACCUACACACUGUUUAUGAGCGAAAUUUUGUUGUAUGGCGCGUAUGCCAACUGCUGGGUGUUGAGAAAACAAGAGAAGGCAAACACAAACGAAACAAAUGCGAAUUCACCAUCGUACUAUAAUCGAACGACCGACCGUCCGACCGACACCCGAGCUCCAUCAAGCCGAGAACAAACAACACAGCAAAGUACUAGUAAAAACAGCGAAUACAAAUGGCGAAUCUAAAUGUUUCUCUGUGUGUGUGCACAUAUUGCGACACACACACACGCACACACGAAAAAAAAAAAAAAACAGUAAACCAAUUUAUCCAUUGGAAAUUUUAAACCAAACAGUGGGCGAACAGUCCAACUAUGUAGAUACAUAUCACCAUAUUUACAAUGCGAUAAAUAUUUUAAACUGCUCGCUUGUUCCAUAUCGACAACCAGCGUCAAUUGCCAUUCAAAUUGAUCAAUUUAUCAUCGCAGGCAAAUGGACAGUGUACACUGCAUAAAGUGACAAGCACAUUAUUAAGUUCUUGGCUUGUUAAAUAAUGUAUUAUAAAAAAUGUAUUUAAAAUCUGUACACAAAUCUGCAUAGAAUUCCACAUGAAUUAAUUGGUUAAAGGUUUUAAUAGCUGUGUGGAUAAAUGUAUAUGUUAAUUGUGCGAGAUCUGUAAUGCAAAUUAAAUUUGUUGUUAAAUUUUUUCAAAUUUAAA